rnacentral:misc_RNA from 1 species
UAUCUAGCCAUUGAAUUCCCAAGGACUCCCUGUUUGGAUUAUGCUAGUAAUGGAGCUGAGGAAGCAGUUGGUCUAAGAUCUUUUAACUCAGUGGCACUGAGCAGUAACUAGUAGUGAUGAUACAUGUAAAUUAAUGCUCCUCAAAGAACAUCCUAUUAAAAUAGUAGUGUAACUAACUCUAUAGAAUAAUGAGAGCUCUAAGCUUUCAUUAUGUGGAUGCUGCCUAUGAUGUUUGA